UACGUAGGGUGCGAGCGUUAAUCGGAAUUACUGGGCGUAAAGCGUGCGCAGGCGGUUUUGUAAGCCAGAUGUGAAAUCCCCGGGCUUAACCUGGGAAUGGCAUUUGGGACUGCAAGGCUUGAGUUUGGCAGAGGAGACUGGAAUUCCUGGUGUAGCAGUGAAAUGCGUAGAUAUCAGGAGGAAUACCGAUGGCGAAGGCGGGUCUCUGGGCCGAUACUGACGCUGAGGAGCGAAAGCGUGGGGAGCGAACAGG
rnacentral:rRNA from 1 species